rnacentral:lncRNA from 1 species
GAAGGAGGCUCGAUCGUUCAGAAGCCAAAAUAGCUUAUCUUUGAAGGGAUCCUCAAGCUUGAUCUGAUCAGGACGAGGCUCGUCACCAAUUUGGUGGUGAUUGCACCAUCGCAAUGUGGAGGCCACCUAUGUCAGGUUCCAAAAUAGCAACGGACUCUGAGGCUGUGGUUAGACAUUCACAUGAAUCUUUCAAGAAAGGCUUUCAGUGUUGUCAUCGCAUCGUCC